GUAAUGUCAGGACUUACUGAAGAAGAGCCUUUCCCUACUCCUUGGAAAGAUGAAUCCCGGGAUCAUGGCAACUGCAAACGAAGGCUGCAACCCCCAGAGUGACCUGUGUACAUACCUGUCUUCACAGCUGGAAAGAACUUAAUGCAUCUAUGUAAACUGAUUAAGAAUUACAAAUCACAAUGAUGAAACCAU
rnacentral:lncRNA from 10 species